CUGCAAGGCAAAAACAUGCUAACUGACAAGAAAAUCAUGGGUUUUAUACAAGGAUAACAAGUGCUGGGUUGCUUAGCUAUGAGGAAGGCUAGGCUCACUGCAUACCAGAAGAUGUACAGCGUUGGAGAAUUCAGGGAUUUUUAUCAACAAUCAAACUAUAUUUGUGGAAAUUUUGUGCAUAAGUGCCAAAGAUGGCUGACAUCGGACCACAUUCUAUUUAACUCAACUGAAUGACACCAAGCUCUCAUCCUAAAACUUAUAGUUACAUCCACCCUUCUGAAAUAUUUAAUUAUUCUCCAAUACACUGGAGGUAAUAGGUAUAAAAAGAAUGAGCAUGUGCAACUUAGUAUCUCAUAUCUAAUUUUGUGUCCCAAGUUCAUUCUUCCCCUGAAUGUCCCAUGUCUACCAGGUGCAGGAUUAUCUGGAUGGGUCAGUUCAAAACAAUUUCAGGGAAUAAAUUGUGUAGGGGACUCAAUUUUCUGAGACAGAAACAUAAUGUGAAUAACUCCUUUGUUAGAAAAUAAUUUCAGUGACAGAAAGCCUUUCAGUUCAUAAAGAAAACUUACAUAUCAACAAGCCUAGCUCCUCACUAGUCCCAGUGAAUGCUUACAUCAAUCAGCUCUACAAUAUCCAGUAAAGGACUUUCCAAUUCGCCUUUGAAUAAACUGAGGUAUUGGAAACAUCUAAGAAAAUGGUUUUUAAUUCUUCCUAAUCUUCAGGGAGUUCUUCCUUAUAUUGAGCUGAUAUCUGCCCUCUGUAACUUUCAACUAAUUAUUCAAAUCUCUCAAGUGAUUAUAAUUAAUUCCAUCUUAUAAGGAAUUUUUCUCAGCUUCCAGCCUCUUGAAAAUACUCUGAUAUUUUCUCUAAUAUUCAAGUGGAAAUGUAAAUGGGUAACGUAAGAGUCUGUGGGGUUAGGAGGGUGGAGGAAAGGUAAGGGAAAGCUAAUGAGAAAUAACCAAAGCAAGAAAAAGAAUUUUAUUUUCUUCAAGUUCUUUGUACAUCCAAAGUGGAAGAUUCCUAAAAUAAAUUCCCCAUACCACAUUUUAAAAAUUAGGUUAGCAAGCUUACUUUUUAAUUUAUUUAGAAGCCAACUACUUCCAUUUAUUAUUUCUUUCCAGAAUAGAACAAUUAUCACUAAUUGUUUGUCAUUAUAAUGCCAAACUAUGUUAAUAGAUGCCUAUUUUUUUAAAGGCUAAUUGCAAUCAUGAAACCAAAUAUCUAAUUAGUUUUAGAGCUUUGGACCACAUGCAUCAAUAUUUGAAUCAUUCAGGUGUAUAUUUGCUUUCUGCUUUUUUGUCUCUUCAAAAGAAGUAUUAUAUGCAUUCUGUUUAUAAUUUCU
rnacentral:lncRNA from 1 species